UACGUAGGGCGCAAGCGUUGUCCGGAAUUAUUGGGCGUAAAGAGCUCGUAGGCGGUUCGUUGUGUCUGCCGUGAAAACCCGAGGCUUAACCUCGGGCCUGCGGUGGAUACGGGCGGACUAGAGGUAGGUAGGGGAGAAUGGAAUUCCUGGUGUAGCGGUGAAAUGCGUAGAUAUCAGGAGGAAUACCGGUGGCGAAAGCGACUCUCUGGACGGCAACUGACGCUGAGGCACGAAAGCGUGGGGAGCAAACAGG
rnacentral:rRNA from 1 species